GGGGGCCGCGGGGGAGCCCCGGGAGGAGAUGGGACACCCCACGCCAGCGACCUGGGGACAUCGAAAGCCACUUGGUUCUUCCCUCUCAGCUCAUCCCUGAUUUAGUUUGGGCUGGGGGUGGGAAUCAUGGUGAAGCCCCUUUGCUCCGGCAUGGACAGGCGACCCAUGAACCUUGAGGAUCUGGUGCUGGAGCCCCAGCAGCCACGUUACACCCGAGAGAAGGGUUUACGGGACAGAGAAGGAUCUGACAUGUAUCCCUGUUUAAGAGGUUCACAGCCAAGUGAAGGAGACAGACAAAUAAACCAACAAUGACAUUACAGAUGAACCUGGUUGACACUUGGAAGACAGGUACAAAUUCAUUUCUUUCAACAGUUCAAAAAGCUUUCCUCCACAGCACAGCCCACCUGAGCUCUGUGAGCUUGGGGCACCACCGCGGGCCACAGUAGAGCACAUCUGCUUCAUCAAGCAAAGCAUGGAGCUCUCUGUGGUUCAGGCUGGUGGAGUGUGUCCAGUUCGUGGUAUCCAUUUUUAUGUCCAUUAUUAUUUAUUAUGAUUUAGCCCAAAGCAAUUCCUGGUGAGUGAUGCAACAGAUCUGUGUGUCCUCACAAAACACUGCCACCUUGGAACAAGGUUUGUAACCAGCCCAGCAUGAACCCCAUUCAUCCCAGAAGCACCUUCUAGUCAUGUUUUAAAAUGUUGACCUAUCUACUUUUCCCAGACUUUUCUCAAUGCAAAAAUAAAUAAUCUCCUACCUAUACACUGUGGUGGUUUGAAGUCGUAUGUAUGCAGAAAAACAUGUUCUUAAAUCUAAUCCAUUCCUGAGGGUGUGAACCCACAGUAAGU